GUUUCAAUCAUCUGCUGCCUCGUCUACAGUCCCAGUGAGGUGAGAUGGAUCCUACCACGUCAGGAGCGUCUUCUGGUUGACGUUGUAGAGGUGGAUGGAGGUGUUGGUCAUCAGCGUGGGGCAGCUGACUACAACGUCCCGGGUGGUGUUGUAGUCCCUCAGGACGGAAGCGCAGCGACUGUCCUGGACCCCGCCCAGUGAACGUCCCUCACUGUGGACGUCACACAGCUUCAGGAAGAUGGCCUCCACCAGCCUGCUGACUUUAGGGGACUGAGCAGCGCCCGCACCUUUGCCUAGAAAGGAACUGCACACAACCAGAACCCAGCGUUCAAGGACAGAAACAGACAUGAGGAGACACAUUUAAUAUCUAUGACUCAUAUCUAUGAUUUAAAUCUUACCGCUGCACGCUGUCCACGCCGGCAAUGCUGCUUGACCGCGAGCUCUUAAAGCGGCCUGUCACCAACCGGCGCGGGGGGAAGGCAUCUGGUGCCUUGUCAUGAUCCAGCAGCUUCUCCCACAAGGCGACGAUCUCUCUGGCCUUUAGCUGCGUCACAUACGUGUGAUGACACAGCUCUCCUAUGGCGUGGGCCAGAGCGGUGACGUGCUGGUACCCGCUACGUCCAUCUGGGCCAAGUGCAUCCUGUAAAUGCAAAAGAAUAAAAAGAUGGAAUAAAUAUCCACAUCGUAACCAAAAAGACACAAUCAAAUGGUAGGUUAUGUCUAAUCACCCUCUGCGACAUCCAUUCCCGUCUCCAACUCCAAACUGAUAGGAAGGUCACAGCUGAAUGGUUAAAGCUGUAAUUCAGGACUGUGUGUAGAUGUAAGGCCAAUUCCUGUGUGAUUUUGUCCUUCUGAGAUAUUGGCAUUCUAAUAGUGUCAUUUCCUGGAGGGGAACACUGCCUACCAGAAAUUGUAAUAAUAAAAGUAGUAAAAGUAAUUUUUAUGUGUGAACAACACCCUUGUGACAAAAUGGUGGCCGUAGCAGGUGGGUGGAGUUAUAUGGCUGAUCCAGGUUGGUCAAUUCAAUUCAGGUGGGUGGGGCUUAGUGCAGAUUCACAUAAAUACAGUCGGAUUUGUGAGGGACCUCCAUUUUGCCUUUGGACCCCCUUUGGAUCAGGACUCCUUUCUGCUUUUGGACCUUCUUGGAUUUGGACUCUUUUCUGCUUUUGGACCUCCUUGGAUAAGAACUCUUUUCUGCUUUGUUUAAAGAAAGGAGUUUUGGAAGACAUGGAAUCUCGAAAAAAUAGCAAAAAGGAUCGCCGCAUUGUUCACUGCCUUCUGUGCCAGAAGCCUCAGGACAGCUUGCCCACCCACCUUCUCAGAACCUGCAUGAAAAAUGCUUCUCCUGAAGAAAGACAGGCAGAGGUGAAGAGAGCCAAAGAAAGUAUGAGAACCUGGACUCGCUACCAGCGCAACUGGGACUACAUGGACUUGUGCAGCAUUUUCCCUGACCAGGUCACCAGAUGGAACAUGGUCCGAAACCUGAGGGAAAGGGGCUUUCUUUGUGUCUGGUGCGCCCUCUGA
rnacentral:lncRNA from 1 species